rnacentral:snRNA from 1 species
GGAUGUCUGGGAGAUCUGGCUGUGACAUCAGUCACCCCACUGAUUUCCAGGGUUGAUCUGGCUGAUCUGGCUGGCUAGGCAGGUGUCUCCUUCCUCCCUCACUGCUCCACGUGCGUCCCUCCAAAAGCUGCAUGCUCGGUUGAAGAGGACAACCAUCCCCCAUAGAGGAGGACCAGUCCUUGGUCAAAGGUAUAUGAGUAGCUGUGCUCCCCUGUGAGAAUCUCCAAAUAAGCUCUCAAGGAAAAGGGGUUACUCCAAGUGCUCAUUCCCCAUUUCCACAUCCAGUCU